rnacentral:rRNA from 1 species
UACAGGGGGUGCAAACGUUGCUCGGAAUUAUUGGGCGUAAAGCGCGCGUAGGCGGCCACUUAAGUCGGAUGUGAAAGCCCCUGGCUCAACUGGGGAAGUGCACCCGAAACUGAAUGGCUUGAGUGCGAAAGAGGGUCGCGGAAUUCCCGGUGUAGAGGUGAAAUUCGUAGAUAUCGAGAGGAACACCGGUGGCGAAGGCGGCCAACUGGACGAACACUGACGCUGAGACACGAAAGCGUGGGGAGCAAACAGG